rnacentral:lncRNA from 1 species
AGGGUCGUAGGGGACCGCCUGGGGAUCCCCGGACGGCUGCGAGGAAUGAGCGGUUGGCUCGGGCUGGUUUCCUCCCUCCACCGCCUGCUUGUUUCGCCAUGCCCGGGCCGGACGGUGGGGCUGCAGCGGCGAAAGCGACUGAAGUCCGGGAGCAGUCGCAUGAGCUUCCCGGUCACCAGGAGGCCCCGGGAACAGACACCUCACCCUGACAUUGUGGCAGGAACUUCUGGAUUGCUUUCCAAAGUGGCUGCACUGUUUUCUAUCCCCACUGGGCAGGAAAACAUCUAAGAAAGGAGGCUCCCCCCUUCCCUUGCAGGGUUACCAGCAAUUAAAAAGAAGUACUAGAGAGGCAAAUAUCGGCAGUAUACAUCUAAGCGCUGGUCGGAAAAGAAGGAACUCAGCCCAAGAACUUGCCCAAUCUGAUACUGGAGGUGCCACUCAAGAACCACUCCCUCCAAGAUGUUUUCCUGGAUUUCCUCAGCCUAAAGUAAUCCCUCUUUUUCCUGGCUAUACCAUCUGGAACAGAUGACUUCCAAGGACACCGUAGCAAAGAAAAAGAGAACUGGAAGCCCAUGUGCCUUAAUCGCUUCAUCCUAGAGGGCGCAGCAGUCUGGAAAUAGAAACAAUGGUGGUGGAUCAAUUCAAUUGAUCCAGAUUUGGAAGUUGCGUGGCAAGUGAGAAGGAUUUGGAUGGUAAUGGUGAGAAAGGAUUUGAAAUAAUUUAUCAAACCUGGUUCAGAUCAAUCCUGGUGCAUAAGUGACUAACAAGGAGCUGGAGUGGAUGGCAUAGCAUAGUGGCUAGAACCCUAAAACAAGGGAUUUUACAUGAAAGUGGAAA